UCUUUUAAAUGGAGACCUGUAUGAAUGGCAUAACGAGGGCUUAGCUGUCUCCUUUUUCAAGUCAAUGAAAUUGAUCUCCCCGUGCAGAAGCGGGGAUACGCACAUAAGACGAGAAGACCCUAUGGAGCUUUAGACACCAAGACAGAUCAUGUUAAACACCCCAAAACAAAGGGUUAAACCGAAUGACCUCCUGCCCUAAUGUCUUUGGUUGGGGCGACCGCGGGGAAACACAAAACCCCCAUGUGGAAUGAGAGCACCUCCCUCUCACAAUCAAGAGCUCCCGCUCUAGAAAACAGAAAUUCUGACCAAUUGUGAUCCGGCAAAGCCGAUCAACGGACCGAGUUACCCUAGGGAUAACAGCGCAAUCCCCUUUUAGAGACCAUAUCGACAAGGGGGUUUACGACCUCGAUGUUGGAUCAGGACAUCCUAAUGGUGCAGCCGCUAUUAAGGGUUCGUUUGUUCAACGAUUAAAGUCCUACGUGAUCCUUUCUUUUUCUUCCCCCUCC
rnacentral:rRNA from 1 species